rnacentral:rRNA from 1 species
GGGUUGUGAGGUUAAGCGACUAAGCGUACACGGUGGAUGCCCUGGCAGUCAGAGGCGAUGAAGGGCGUGCUAAUCUGCGAUAAGCGCCGGUAAGGUGAUAUGAACCGUUAUAACCGGCGAUACCCGAAUGGGGAAACCCAGUGUGACUCGUCACACUAUCAUUAACUGAAUCCAUAGGUUAAUGAGGCGAACCGGGGGAACUGAAACAUCUAAGUACCCCGAGGAAAAGAAAUCAACCGAGAUUCCCCCAGUAGCGGCGAGC